rnacentral:lncRNA from 1 species
AGAGACUAGAUGAAUGGACUUAUGAAUUCUUGGCAUUUUUCUAGAUUUACUAAAACUUGAAUGGACUUAAACGGAGACUAGAUGAAUUACUUAUGAAUUCUAGAAGAUUAACUGUGUUUUUAAACUAAACAGAAAAACCUUAAUGAAUUAUUGCACAAUUAAUUGGAGACAUGAUGUCAGCACAGAGGAGAGAGGAGGCUGACAUCCAGGGCCCACAUGGCAGUGACUCAAGGAAAGGGGAAAGAGGCUGACAAUGGGACCCACGGGGAAAGAGAGAAAGGGAGAAGAGCUGUCCAGGGGAGCGGCGCACGGCAAAGGCCGGUUGUGGGAAUGAUGACGGCCAGGGCGGCGGAGACCGAACGC